rnacentral:misc_RNA from 1 species
GAAAUGCGAUAAGUAGUGUGAAUUGCAGAAUUCAGUGAAUCAUCGAAUCUUUGAACGCACAUUGCGCCAUUUGGUAUUCCAAAGGGCAUGCCUGUUCGAGCGUCAUUUGUACCCUCAAGCUUUGCUUGGUGUUGGGCGUCUUGUCUCUAGCUUUGCUGGAGACUCGCCUUAAAGUAAUUGGCAGCCGGCCUACUGGUUUCGGAGCGCAGCACAAGUCGCACUCUCUAUCAGCAAAGGUCUAGCAUCCAUUAAGCCUUUUUUCAACUUUUGACCUCGGAUCAGGUAGGGAUACCCGCUGAACUUAAGC